rnacentral:misc_RNA from 1 species
GAUGAAGAACGUAGCGAAAUGCGAUAAGUAGUGUGAAUUGCAGAAUUCAGUGAAUCAUCGAAUCUUUGAACGCACAUUGCGCCCUUUGGUAUUCCAAAGGGCAUGCCUGUUCGAGCGUCAUUUGUACCCUCAAGCUUUGCUUGGUGUUGGGCGUCUUGUCUCUAGCUUUGCUGGAGACUCGCCUUAAAGUAAUUGGCAGCCGGCCUACUGGUUUCGGAGCGCAGCACAAGUCGCACUCUCUAUCAGCAAAGGUCUAGCAUCCAUUAAGCCUUUUUUUCAACUUUUGACCUCGGAUCAGGUAGGGAUACCCGAUGAACUUAAGCAUAUCAAUAAGCGGAGGA